GGAUCAUUACCGAGUUUACAACUCCCAAACCCCUGUGAACAUACCUAUUUGUUGCCUCGGCGGUGCCUGUUCCGACAGCCCGCCAGAGGACCCCAAACCCUGAUUACAUUUAAGAAGUCUUCUGAGUAAACCGAUUAAAUAAAUCAAAACUUUCAACAACGGAUCUCUUGGUUCUGGCAUCGAUGAAGAACGCAGCGAAAUGCGAUAAGUAAUGUGAAUUGCAGAAUUCAGUGAAUCAUCGAAUCUUUGAACGCACAUUGCGCCCGCUAGUAUUCUGGCGGGCAUGCCUGUCCGAGCGUCAUUUCAACCCUCAAGCCCCCGGGCUUGGUGUUGGGGAUCGGCGAGCCUCCGCGCCCGCCGUCCCCUAAAUCUAGUGGCGGUCUCGCUGUAGCUUCCUCUGCGUAGUAGCACACCUCGCACUGGGAAACAGCGCGGCCACGCCGUUAAACCCCCAACUUCUGAACGUUUGACCUCGGAUCAGGUAGGAAUACCCGCUGAACUUAAGCAUAUCAAUAAACCCGGAGGAAGCUACAGCGAGACCGCCACUAGAUUUAGGGGACGGCGGGCGCGGAGGCUCGCCGAUCCCCAACACCAAGCCCGGGGGCUUGAGGGUUGAAAUGACGCUGG
rnacentral:rRNA from 1 species